rnacentral:tRNA from 1 species
GGGGUGGUGGCUCAGUGACAGAGCGCUUGCCUAGCAUGUGUGAGGCACUGGGUUAGAUCCUCAGCCCCCCCA